GAUCCUGGCUCAGGACGAACGCUAGCUACAGGCUUAACACAUGCAAGUCGAGGGGCAGCAUGAAGUUUGCUUGCAAACUUUGAUGGCGACCGGCGCACGGGUGAGUAACGCGUAUCCAACCCUGCCCGCAACCGCGGAAUAGCCCGCCGAAAGGCGGAUUAAUGCCGCAUGAGCUCGCGUGGGGGCAUCUGCCCGCGAGCAAAGGUUCACUCCGGUUGCGGAUGGGGAUGCGUCCGAUUAGGCAGCAGGCGGGGCAACGGCCCACCUGGCCUACGAUCGGUAGGGGUUCUGAGAGGAAGGUCCCCCCACAUUGGAACUGAGACACGGUCCAAACUCCUACGGGAGGCAGCAGUGAGGAAUAUUGGUCAAUGGGCGCGAGCCUGAACCAGCCAAGUAGCGUGGGGGAUGACUGCCCUAUGGGUUGUAAACCCCUUUUGCGCGGGGAUAAACCGGCGGACGCGUCCGCCGCUGCAGGUACCGCGCGAAUAAGGACCGGCUAAUUCCGUGCC
rnacentral:rRNA from 1 species